CAUGAAGUCGGAAUUGCUAGUAAUCGCGGAUCAGCAUGCCGCGGUGAAUACGUUCUCGGGCCUUGUACACACCGCCCGUCACACCAUGGGAGUCGGUAACACCCGAAGUCUGUAGCCUGACGCAAGAGGGCGCAGCCGAAGGUGGGAUUGAUGACUGGGGUGAAGUCGUAACAAGGUAGC
rnacentral:rRNA from 1 species